rnacentral:lncRNA from 1 species
UGGAUUUUUGAAAUAUUUUUAUAUUCGUCAAUGACACAAUUUACAUAUUUUGACUAAAUUUAUUGUAUAUUUUAUUUACACGAAGUAAAGUAUUUAACAAUCUCUAUAUUGGUUCAUCAUUUAUUUUUUAUUCAUGUUUUGCAUUAUUCCAACCAUCUCUAUAAUAACUCAUAACAUUUAUAAAAUGCAUAUCAUAAGAAAAU